UACGAAGGGGGCUAGCGUUGUUCGGAAUUACUGGGCGUAAAGGGCGCGUAGGCGGUGUGUCAAGUCAGGCGUGAAAGCCCCGGGCUCAACCUGGGAACCGCGCUUGAGACUGGCACGCUCGAGUUCGGGAGAGGAUGGUGGAAUUCCCGGUGUAGCGGUGGAAUGCGUAGAGAUCGGGAAGAACAUCGGUGGCGAAGGCGGCCUGCUGGGCUGUAGCUGACGCUGAGGCGCGAAAGCUAGGGUAGCAAACGGG
rnacentral:rRNA from 1 species